CUGGCUCAGAACGAACGCUGGCGGCGUGCUUAACACGAUGCAAGUCGAACGCGAAAGGGACUUCGGUCCUGAGUAAAGUGGCGCACGGGUGAGUAACGCGUAGAUAACCUGUCUUCAUGUCUGGAAUAAUACGCCGAAAGGGGUACUAAUACCGGAUAUUCUUGCUUUUCAUAAGUUAUGCAAGCAAAGGUGGCCUCUGCAUAUGCUACUGCAUGAAGAGGGGUCUGCGUACCAUUAGCUAGUAGGUGGGGUAAUGGCCUACCUAGGCGACGAUGGUUAGCGGGUCUGAGAGGAUGAUCCGCCACACUGGCACUGGAACACGGGCCAGACUCCUACGGGAGGCAGCAGUGAGGAAUAUUGCGCAAUGGGGGAAACCCUGACGCAGCGACGCCGCGUGAGUGAGGAAGGCCUUCGGGUCGUAAAGCUCUGUCAAGAGGAAAGGAGUGUACAAUGGCUAAUACCUGUUGUAUUUGACGGUACCUCUAAAGGAAGCACCGGCUAACUCCGUGCCAGCCGCCGC
rnacentral:rRNA from 1 species